GAUUAACGCUGGCGGCGUGCAUAACACAUGCAAGUCGAACGAUGAAACUCAUUAGAUUUCUUCGGAAUGAAAAUGAAUGGCUUAGUGGCGAACGGGUGAGUAACGCGUGAGUAACCUGCCUUACACAAGGGGAUAGCCUCUGGAAACGGAGAAUAAUACCCUAUGAAACCAGACAAUCGCAUGAUAAUCUGGUCAAAAUGUUUAGUGGUGUAAGAUGGACUUGCGUCUGAUUAGCUAGUUGGUGAGAUAAAAGCUCACCAAGGCAACGAUCAGUAGCCGGCUUGAGAGAGUGUACGGCCACAUUGGGACUGAGACACGGCCCAGACUCCGACGGGAGGCAGCAGUGGGGAAUUUUGCACAAUGGGGGAAACCCUGAUGCAGCGACGCCGCGUGAUUUAGAAGGCCUUCGGGUUGUAAAAAUCUUUUGUAUAGGAAGAAAAUGACAGUACUAUACGAAUAAGGUCCGGCUAAUUACGUG
rnacentral:rRNA from 1 species